CAGUCGCCACGGGAAUACGAAGGGGGCUAGCGUUGCUCGGAAUGACUGGGCGUAAAGGGCGCGUAGGCGGAUUGUUUAGUUAGGCGUGAAAUUCCUGGGCUUAACCUGGGGACUGCGCUUAAUACAGGCAGUCUAGAGUGAGGAAGAGGGUUGUGGAAUUCCCAGUGUAGAGGUGAAAUUCGUAGAUAUUGGGAAGAACACCGGUGGCGAAGGCGGCAACCUGGUCCUUGACUGACGCUGAGGCGCGAAAGCGUGGGGAGCAAACAGGAUUAGAUACCCCGGUAGUCCCUGUCUCUUAUAC
rnacentral:rRNA from 1 species